GAUGCGCCUGUACAUGUUCACUGAUGGACCCAUAGACUGUAUGGAUGGACCUGACUCGAUUCCAUUAAUGAAUCAAAGUCGGAGUCGACUCCUCAAGUUCUUGAAUCGAAGAGCCCCGCCCUCUCAGAAAGGCUGUCAUGUGAUUCUUCACUUCCUCUCUGUGUGAGUAACAGACUUAUGGAGAACUUUACUGGAGGAAGAGUGAUAGGACAGCAGCAGACAGGUCUGACUGUGGGAGUGAGUCUGCUCAUUGUCUUGAUGAUUAUUGUUCUGGCAGCUAUAGUAUACACUCCUCCAGGUAUGAGAUUCUGCAGAAGAAGAAACUUGACUGAGGAGCAUCUCUCACUCACAGACAACAGAGUCUCCUGAUCACUGUGGUGUCUAAAUGUCCAUUGAUCAACCUUUGUCACUGGUUGUAAUGUCUACCUCCAACAUGACGACACACCAUGUCACAAAGUAAAAGGUGUGUCGAACUGCCUUCCAAGACACCUCUCUGCAUCCAAUUGAGCAUUUUUGGGAUGCAGUAAUAAGAGAAAUUCACAGGAUGAAAGCGGACCUGAACAAUCUGCGGGAAUUACCACCAGCUCCUUUUCUUCCAAGUCUGAAAACUGGUCAAUGGAAAAAUGGACAAAGCAGUAGAUAACAAUAGACACACACUUAUUUCAUCAUGGUGCUUCAUUAUCUUUCAUGAUAAAAUAUCUGUGAAGGACACUAAGAGAUCAUUCUAUUGAGUAAUCACGACUGUCUGUGCAUGACUGAACGGUUAACAUACUAUAUUGAUUCAAUCGAAGAACAUCUAGAUGUUUAAUGUGUCAGUUUUCAUUAAAAAGCAAAUAAAUCCUGA